rnacentral:rRNA from 1 species
UGGGGAAUCUUGCGCAAUGCGCGAAAGCGUGACGCAGCAACGCCGCGUGGGUGAAGAAGGCCUUCGGGUUGUAAAGCCCUUUCAGUUGGGACGAAGCUCGGCGGGUUAAUAGCCCGUUCGAGUGACGGUACCUUCACAAGAAGCCCCGGCUAACUACGUGCCAGCAGCCGCGGUAAUACGUAGGGGGCGAGCGUUGUCCGGAAUCAUUGGGCGUAAAGCGCGUGUAGGCGGUUCGGUAAGUCUGCUGUGAAAGUCCGGGGCUCAACCCCGGAAAGCCGGUGGAUACUGUCGAACUAGAGUGCGGAAGAGGCGAGUGGAAUUCCUGGUGUAGCGGUGAAAUGCGCAGAUAUCAGGAGGAACACCAAUUGCGAAGGCAGCUCGCUGGGACGUUACUGACGCUGAGACGCGAAAGCGUGGGGAGCAAACAG